UGGGGAAUAUUGCACAAUGGGGGAAACCCUGAUGCAGCAACGCCGCGUGAGCGAAGAAGGCCUUCGGGUCGUAAAGCUCUGUCCUAAGGGAAGAUAAUGACGGUACCUUAGGAGGAAGCCCCGGCUAACUACGUGCCAGCAGCCGCGGUAAUACGUAGGGGGCAAGCGUUAUCCGGAAUCACUGGGCGUAAAGGGUGCGUAGGCGGCCAAACAAGUCAGGGGUGAAAGGCUACGGCUCAACCGUAGUAAGCCUUUGAAACUGUUUGGCUUGAGUGCAGGAGAGGAGAGUGGAAUUCCUAGUGUAGCGGUGAAAUGCGUAGAUAUUAGGAGGAACACCAGUGGCGAAGGCGACUCUCUGGACUGUAACUGACGCUGAGGCACGAAAGCGUGGGGAGCAAAC
rnacentral:rRNA from 1 species